rnacentral:rRNA from 1 species
GAUUAUGGCUCAGGAUGAGCGCUGGCGGCGUGCCUAACACAUGCAAGUCGAGCGAUUCUCUUCGGAGAAGAGCGGCGGACGGGUGAGUAACGCGUGGGUAACCUGCCCUGUACACACGGAUAACAUACCGAAAGGUACGCUAAUACGGGAUAAUAUGUUUUGAUCGCAUGGUCGAAAUAUCAAAGCUCCGGCGGUACAGGAUGGACCCGCGUCUGAUUAGCUAGUUGGUGAGGUAAUGGCUCACCAAGGCGACGAUCAGUAGCCGACCUGAGAGGGUGAUCGGCCACAUUGGAACUGAGACACGGUCCAAACUCCUACGGGAGGCAGCAGUGGGGAAUAUUGCACAAUGGGCGAAAGCCUGAUGCCAGCAACGCCGCGUGAGCGAUGAAGGCCUUCGGGUCGUAAAGCUCUGUCCUCAAGGAAGAUAAUGACGGUACUUGAGGAGGAAGCCCCGGCUAACUACGUGCCAGCCGCCGC